UUAUUUGUCAAAUAUAUUUUGUAAUUGCGUGUUGUUACUUACCAAUUUGUGUGAAAAGUUUUAAUAAAUGUAUCUCAUGAACCGUAAGUUUGCGCAACCUAAAUCUUUGCAAAACUCUUUCUUUUAUGUUAAAGUUUGGGCUAAAUUUUGUUUUCCUAAUGGUGAUGGGACAUCCAUUGAAUCAUUAAAAACAGUGAAUGCCCAGCAUAGGAUACUAUGUGAAAAUCAUUUGAAUGAAUCUUCAUUUACCAGCAGCGAUAGGAAAAGACUUAACAAGUUAGAUUAAGAGUGAAUAGAGGAGGAUAUAGACCAAUUAAAAAACAAACAUUGUAGUCCAUAUAGAGCAAGUUAUGACAUCCAAGAACCAUCAACUAGCAAAGGUAUUUUGUAGGACUUGGAUGUGAAAAAGUUCAGUGAACUUACACCUCAAAAGCAAACGCUGUCUAAGAGAUGCAGAAAAACGUAAAACUCAAUGCUAAGGCCGUACUAGUGUGAUAGCAAACCAUAGUCGAACUUUCAUGUUUAUCGGUGUUCGAAAAUGCUGGAAACAGCCAAUAGCAUUUUACUUCUCAGGAGAUUGUGACACAGCAGACAAGUCAGCAGCUCUUGUCGAGGAGGUACAGUAAAGUGGAGCCACAUAGAGGAGUUUUAUAAUAAAGAUCGCGAGAAUCCCAACCGUGUUUGCUCCAGCUUUAACCCAGCACCACUUACAACCAGUACAGAAUGGCAAACAGAAAAUCAAAGAGCGCCUAGCAGAUCAAAUUUUAAGCCAUUCGGUUGCAGUUGGAAUAUUUGCCAAAAUGAAUGAUGACAAGACGCCCCUGGAACAACUGUCGCUGGACAAGCUUUUCGACUGAACGGAGAUUCGACCGACAGGAAAGAGGUAUAAACACUUAUUAUAAUAAUACUUGACAUCUGUAAUUGUGGAUGUGAUCCAAACCCCACGUCGGUCCAAUUAAAAACUAGCUUAGGCAAUUAGUAGCAGCGUUUUUAAUACGCUGAAAUUAUUAUUCUUCGAAGACACUAAACCUAGCUGCGCAACUGAAUAUCCCUGUAACAGCCAGGUGGAACCUCCAACCUCCCAGGGAAAUUAAGUGGCAUCGCCGACUCAGCUACGCCUACGUCUGGCUAUGCUCUCGGGGUGUA